rnacentral:rRNA from 1 species
UUUCCGUUGGUGGAACCAGCGGAGGGGAUCAUUACAGAGUUGCAAAACUCCCACCCUUGUGAACUAUCCCUACUGUUGCUUCGGUAGACGCUACGCUGCGGCUAGGCGGCUACCGACAGCCUACUUAACACUGCAAUCAACGUAUCUCUGAGUUUAUCUUAAUAAGUUAAAACUUUCAACAACGGAUCUCUUGGUUCUGGCAUCGAUGAAGAACGCAGCGAAAUGCGAUAAGUAAUGUGAAUUGCAGAAUUCAGUGAAUCAUCGAAUCUUUGAACGCACAUUGCGCCCGCUAGUAUUCUGGCGGGCAUGCCUGUUCGAGCGUCAUUUCAACCAUCAAGCUCUCAGCUUGUGUUGGGGGUCCUGCAGUAUCCGCAGCCCCUUAAAAGCAGUGGCGGCUUGUUGUCAUACCGAGCGCAGAAGCAUUAUCUCCGCUUUGGUCGUGGUUAGCAGUCCCAGCCGUUAAAGCACAUACAAAAGGUUGACCUCGGAUCAGGUAGGAAUACCCGCUGAACUUUAA